rnacentral:rRNA from 1 species
GUGGGGAAUCUUAGACAAUGGGGGAAACCCUGAUCUAGCCAUGCCGCGUGAUCGAUGAAGGCCUUAGGGUUGUAAAGAUCUUUCAGGUGGGAAGAUAAUGACUGUACCACCAGAAGAAGCCCCGGCUAACUCCGUGCCAGCAGCCGCGGUAAUACGGAGGGGGCUAGCGUUGUUCGGAAUUACUGGGCGUAAAGCGCACGUAGGCGGAUUGGAAAGUUGGGGGUGAAAUCCCGGGGCUCAACCCCGGAACUGCCUUCAAAACUCCCAGUCUUGAGUGCGAGAGAGGUGAGUGGAAUUCCGAGUGUAGAGGUGAAAUUCGUAGAUAUUCGGAGGAACACCAGUGGCGAAGGCGGCUCACUGGCUCGAUACUGACGCUGAGGUGCGAAAGCGUGGGGAGCAAACAGGAUUAGAUACCCCUGUAGUCC